UACGGAGGGUGCAAGCGUUGUUCGGAAUUACUGGGCGUAAAGCGCGUGUAGGCGGUCGCUUAAGUCUGAUGUGAAAGCCCGGGGCUCACCUCCGGAAGAGCAUUGGAAACUGAGCGACUAGAGUGCCGGAGAGGAGGGUGGAAUUCCUGGUGUAGCGGUGAAAUGCGUAGAUAUCAGGAGGAACACCGGUGGCGAAGGCGGCCCUCUGGACGGAUACUGACGCUGAGACGCGAAAGCGUGGGGAGCAAACAGG
rnacentral:rRNA from 1 species